AUACGUAGGGGGCGAGCGUUGUCCGGAAUGAUUGGGCGUAAAGGGCGCGUAGGCGGCCCGGUAAGUCUGGAGUGAAAGUCCUGCUUUUAAGGUGGGAAUUGCUUUGGAUACUGUCGGGCUUGAGUGCAGGAGAGGUAAGUGGAAUUCCCAGUGUAGCGGUGAAAUGCGUAGAGAUUGGGAGGAACACCAGUGGCGAAGGCGACUUACUGGACUGUAACUGACGCUGAGGCGCGAAAGUGUGGGGAGCAAACAGGAUUAGAUACCCUGGUAGUCCACACUGUAAACGAUGAAUGCUAGGUGUAGGGGGUAUCGACCCCUUCUGUGCCGCAGUUAACACAAUAAGUAAUCCACCUGGGGAGUACGGCCGCAAGGUUGAAACUCAAAGGAAUUGACGGGG
rnacentral:rRNA from 1 species